rnacentral:rRNA from 1 species
AACGCGAAGAACCUUACCUGGGCUCGAAGCGCAGUGGAAUCCGGUGGAAACAUCGGCGCCCCUUAAAAGGCUGCUGCGGAGGUGCUGCAUGGCUGUCGUCAGCUCGUGUCGUGAGAUGUUGGGUUAAGUCCCGCAACGAGCGCAACCCUUGUCUCAUGUUGCCAGCGGGUAAUGCCGGGGACUCGUGAGAGACUGCCGGGGGUCAACUCGGAGGAAGGUGGGGAUGACGUCAAGUCAUCAUGCCCCUUAUGUCCAGGGCUUCACACAUGCUACAAUGGCCGGUACAAAGGGCUGCGAUGCCGUGAGGUUAAGCGAAUCCUUUAAAGCCGGUCUCAGUUCGGAUCGGGGUCUGCAACUCGACCCCGUGAAGUCGGAGUCGCUAGUAAUCGCAGAUCAGCAACGCUGCGGUGAAUACGUUCCCGGGCCUUGUACACACCGAGUAUA